UAGCGCGUGGCCGCCUUUUCCAGCACGGCCUCCUGCCUUCCUGGUGCACUUUUUGGAGAACGUGGUGGAAUCAGAGGUUUCUGGCUGACUCGGUGGGUGCUUUGAACCAGGAAAGGACAAGAAAGAGGUGAGUUGCACUUGGCAAUUAUAGUACAGCUGCCUCCCUGUGGCUCUUCUUGCUUUGAGGUUUGCUCCUUCUUCAGUGCAACCCUUUGCCCAGACAUCCCUAAUGCCCCCAGCUCAGAGCAGCAGUUGGCAGGCAGGAGCUUUGCCGUUAGCCAUCGGAGAGCCCCAGAGACAGGGGUUAAUAAGUACAAACAGUCAUCACAAUUAAUUCAGGCCAGGCUGUGUGCUCCUGGCUUUUAGUUGAAUCAACUCAUUUUCACCUCUC
rnacentral:lncRNA from 1 species